AUGCUGGGCUAAGACAAGGGGCAGAGGCAGAGAGAGAAGGAAGAGACCAGGUGGGCUCUGAGACAGGGAGACCCUUUCUACUUCGGUGCCUUGACGUGUGACUUUUUUGUCACUUCGUGCUCCAGGAUCACCCCCGGAUGAACUAUCACUUUCAAAUGACCUUGUCUUUUCUCGGGCCUUCCGAACUGAUCAUCUCUUCCUUCUGAUACAAGAGGAUCUUCCCUGGAAGACCACUGCACACCUUCUAGUAACACUGGGACCCUGGAGUCUCUGACCAGGGAGAGUAACCUUCAAAGUGCAAACAGGAAAUUAGCCUCCAGCCACUGCUGUUCCUCCAAGUGCCAUGCGGCACUCAGGCUCAGACAAAGGAACCAGGGUACAGAGGUAUUAAUAAUUCAGCUCAAAUCUCUCAGCUGGAAUGAGGAAAAGCCAACACCCACUCACAGCUCUUGGUUUGACCCAAAACUGCCUGCGAUUCCCUACUAUGUGAUCUACAAAUACAAAGACUGCAGACAGCAUAACAUUCUCCUGUUUGAGAAAUAUAGCAGCAGCCUGGGCCUUCUUACACGUUGCAGACAUAUGCAGCAUGAAAGGAGAACA